rnacentral:rRNA from 1 species
GACGAACGCUGGCGGCGUGCCUAAUACAUGCAAGUCGAGCGGAGUUGAAAAAAAGUUUACUUUUUUUCUUCUCAGCGGCGGACGGGUGAGUAACACGUGGGCAACCUGCCCUGUAGACUGGGAUAACUUCGGGAAACCGAAGCUAAUACCGGAUAAUCAUAGAAGUUGCAUAGCUUCUAUGUAAAAGUUGGGUUUACCUAACACUACAGGAUGGGCCCGCGUCGCAUUAGCUAGUUGGUAAGGUAACGGCUACCAAGGCGACGAUGCGUAGCCGACCUGAGAGGGUGAUCGGCCACACUGGGACUGAGACACGGCCCAGACUCCUACGGGAGGCAGCAGUAGGGAAUCUUUCCCGCAAUGGACGAAAAUUCUGACGGAGCAAACCGCCGCGUGAAGCGAAGAAGGCCUUUCGGGUUCGUA